rnacentral:lncRNA from 1 species
UUUUGUUUACAAAUUAUAUUGUCUCCAUUAUAUAAUGAUUUGAUUGUCUUCGGAAUUUUGAUAGAUUUGUUUAUAUCAGAGUUUAGAAUUUUUGAAAUGAUUAAUUAUUACGCAGACUAAUGCCGUACUUAGCGAAAUCUAAUGGAUAUGUUGAAAUUUAUUUGCUAAAUAUAUUUUCUGUUGUUUCUGAUUAAAUCUACACGUCACUACCUAUCUAAUAAGACAUCUAUAUAAAGCUCUCGGAAAUAGAUGUGGUUUGAUACCUAUCGUGAUGCUUUAGUGUUAAAAAUUAAAAUAUUUAAAAAAUAAUAAUCUUCAUCUUUUCAAUAUAUUUUAAAAUUACUAAAACUUUUAAAAUAAAUAUGUUCUACUCUUUACAAAAUAACUUAUAGAAAUAUAAGAUCUAAAAUUUAGGGCUUAAAUUUUAAAAGAUUAUAAUAUAUCUACCCGCCGCAUCGCGCGGGUCACUAUACUAGUAUUUUAUUUAUUGCUGCUUUCUUUUUUAUUUCAAAAAAAUAAGUGUACAUCUUACAUCACUUCAAUCUAAGAGUUUAAGUAAUUUUUUUAAUAUUAAAAAAAAUUGACAAAACAAGUGUGAAAUAUUAAUCCUUAAUAAAAAAUGUAAGAUUUAUAUUUAUUUUUUAAAUGUACAAAUAAUCUUGCUCAAAUUGUAUUUCUAUUUUUUUUUCUAGUCAAGCAUUCUAAGAAGUGAAGGCGAUGACGAACAAGGCUUAAGUUCAAGGACAACUCUGCAUGUAGCUAGGGCUGUUACCGUGCCAAACACGAGCUGAAUCGGCUCGUUAAAAUAUCAAGACGAAAAUUCAGCUCACAUUCGACUUGUUUAUUAAUGAGUCGAAAAUGAGCUAGCUCACGAACAAAAAUUUAAAUUGUCAGUUCUAUUAUUGGAUAAAAAGAUGAAAAAAAAAAAUUGAAUCUUAAUAUAAAAAAUAAAAUUCACAAUAUAUAUAUAUAUAUAUGGGGCAAUUGCUUAUAUACCCUUGAAAAGUUUCUGAUUUUCCGAUUUACCCCUCUUAGAAGGCUAAUAUUGAAAAUACCCUUUCUACGUUCCAACCUAUUUCUAAUAUAUCCCUAGGGCGCGUUUGGUUCGAAGUCGGAAUUAAUAUCGAAAUCGGAAUCAAAAUAAGCUGGAAUCGGAAUCGGAAUGACUCAUUAUCUAAUUCUGUUUGGUUCAUCACCUGAAUCGGAAUCGGAAUAAAUCAUUCCUAUUGUCAGUGUUUGGUUCAGGUGGAUAUAAAAAAUGUAAUCAAAUUAAUAUACUAACAUUAUCUUUAUAAUAUAUUAAUUUAAAUUCAAAUUAAAAAUUAAAUAUU